rnacentral:rRNA from 1 species
AUUGAACGCUGGCGGAAUGCUUUACACAUGCAAGUCGAACGGCAGCGCGGGGGCAGCCCUGGUGGCGAGUGGCGAACGGGUGAGUAAUACAUCGGAACGUGCCCGGUCGUGGGGGAUAACGUAGCGAAAGUUACGCUAAUACCGCAUACGAUCUGAGGAUGAAAGCGGGGGACCUUCGGGCCUCGCGCGAUCGGAGCGGCCGAUGUCAGAUUAGGUAGUUGGUGGGGUAAAGGCCUACCAAGCCGACGAUCUGUAGCUGGUCUGAGAGGACGACCAGCCACACUGGGACUGAGACACGGCCCAGACUCCUACGGGAGGCAGCAGUGGGGAAUUUUGGACAAUGGGCGCAAGCCUGAUCCAGCCAUGCCGCGUGCAGGACGAAGGCCUUCGGGUUGUAAACUGCUUUUGUACGGAACGAAAAGGCUCUGGCUAAUACCUGGGGCUCAUGACGGUACCGUAAGAAUAAGCACCGGCUAACUACGUG